UGGGGAAUAUUGCACAAUGGGCGCAAGCCUGAUGCAGCCAUGCCGCGUGUAUGAAGAAGGCCUUCGGGUUGUAAAGUACUUUCAGUCGGGAGGAAGGUGGUAAGGUUAAUAACCUUAUCGAUUGACGUUACCGACAGAAGAAGCACCGGCUAACUCCGUGCCAGCAGCCGCGGUAAUACGGAGGGUGCAAGCGUUAAUCGGAAUUACUGGGCGUAAAGCGCACGCAGGCGGUUGAUUGAGUCAGAUGUGAAAUCCCCGGGCUUAACCCGGGAAUUGCAUCUGAUACUGGUCAGCUAGAGUCUUGUAGAGGGGGGUAGAAUUCCAUGUGUAGCGGUGAAAUGCGUAGAGAUGUGGAGGAAUACCGGUGGCGAAGGCGGCCCCCUGGACAAAGACUGACGCUCAGGUGCGAAAGCGUGGGGAGCAAACAGG
rnacentral:rRNA from 1 species